GGCGCAGGCGGUUUGUUAAGUCCGGAGUGAAAGCCCGGGGCUCAACCUCGGAGGGUCUUUGGAAACUGGCAAACUAGAGGACGGGAGAGGAGCGUGGAAUUCCUGGUGUAGCGGUGAAAUGCGUAGAUAUCAGGAGGAACAUCGGUGGCGAAAGCGGCGCUCUGGCCCGACCCUGACGCUGAGGCCCGAAAGCGUGGGGAGCGAACA
rnacentral:rRNA from 1 species